CCUCGGAUCAGGUAGGGAUACCCGCUGAACUUAAGCAUA
rnacentral:rRNA from 1 species